GUGCUCACUUUGGCAGCACAUAUACUAAAAUUGGAACGACACAGAGAAGAUUAGCAUGGCCUCUGCGCAAGGAUGACAUGCAAAACCAUUCUGGGAGGCCAAUCUAA